UGGGCUGAUCGAAAGAUCUUGGUCCAACCGAAUGGGCGGGGAGUCCCCCC
rnacentral:sRNA from 12 species